UUACAAAAGUAAUUUACACCGUCACUCAAAUUAUCACCCAAAAACAUCAUGGCUGAAGAGAAGAAACACCACUUUGGUGGUCUCUUCCACCACCACAAGGACAAGGAGGAAGACACCCCCGUCGAGAAAACUACCUAUGGUGAAACAACCUAUGGAGAUAGUGAAAAAACUAGCUCUGGUGGUGAUAAUACAUAUGGCGAAAAAACUAGUGCCUAUGGAGAUAAUACAUAUGGAGAAAAAACUAGCACCUAUGGAGAUAACACUACAUAUGGUGAGAAAACUAGUUAUGGUGAUAAUACAUAUGGUGAAAAAACUAGCACCUACGGAGGAGAUAACACGUAUGGAGGUGAGAAAACUAGUUAUAGUGAUAAUACAUAUGGCGAAAAACCUAGCACCUACGGAGGAGAUAACACGUAUGGAGGUGAGAAAACUAGCUAUGGUGGAGGAGAUACGUAUGGAGAUAACAAAUAUGGUGAGAAAACCAGCACCUAUGGUGAGAAUACAUAUGGAGAGAAAACUAGUUAUGGUGGAACUGAGGAAGGUGGCUAUGGUGGAGGAGCUGCUGCCUAUUCAUCUGAGACUACUAAUUAUGAAGACACCACUGAAACCAAAACUGCUGAGGAUUAUAAGGAAGAGAAAAAACACCACAAGCAUCUUGAACAUGUCGGAGAACUCGGUGCCGUUGCCGCUGGCGCCUUUGCUUUGGUAAAUAAUUUUCCUAACAAUUAAUACGCCUAUGAUAGUAUUUACUGUGUGAGCAAAAUAUCCUUAAGGACAUUACUUUUCUUGACACACCAUAACCUAAAUUCUAUGUAUUCUCCAUAUGUAGUAGUGAUUUUUGCAACAAAAAUUUGCAAGAUAUACUAAUCAUGCAUCUAAAAGAUCACUAGUACGUGUAAUUGCCUAUGAUAAGUGAAAUUAAUAAUUCAAGACAUGUAAUGGUGACCACAUUUUUAAUUACUUUAAUACGGCCGGGUCUAACUUUUCCUUUUGAUGAUCACUUAAUUUCUUCCAUUAAUCUUUUUGGUGUGAAUGAAUGUUUC
rnacentral:lncRNA from 1 species